rnacentral:lncRNA from 1 species
AUGGACGUGAGAUUUUAUCCAGCACCCCCUUCAAGCGUGGGCUCAUGUACAUUACCAACUGAUUCAAGUUGCCUGACCUCUUUGGACUAUUAUCACUGCAACAAGUUUGAUGGUGACAACAUGUACAUGAAUGAAAAUAACCAGGAGUUUCUCUCCCCAAAUCAGGUGAGUCCAACAUUUUGUUUUUUGUUGAUGGAACACCUGCUUCCUUGACUAGAACAAGCCCAGACAUUCCUAUAAUUUGAUAAGGUCUCACGGUGGACUGUAAACAAAGCUGAUGUCCUACAUUCAGGGUAGUGGAAUCCUAGCACCAAGGUCCAGAUUACUGCUGUUUGUUGUUCCAUAGCUGGAAGUGAAUUCAUUUAUGCAUGUCAUUGAUUGGCCAGAGAUUCCACUCACAUUCGGUGGUAUUCAGACUUGAGAUCAUAACACUUAACUUACAUUUUCACGUUGUCUCCCAAUGACAUGAAAUAAGGAUUAAGUCUGAGUUGCAUCUCAACUCUGAAUUGGCCAGAAUUGGCCUCUGAUUAGAGGGGAAGAAUGAAAACAUAACCAGUAGUGCUGUUGACCCUGAGUACUGGAUUUGAGAAAGGGGGCUCAACAAAAUGAGUUCCAAUGAGAGUCAUGAGAAAAUAGGACUGAAUGCAUGAAGGUGUGUAUUGUAGUACAGUGCAGUGCAUUGUACCAC